GAUGAACGCUGGCGGCGUGCCUAAUACAUGCAAGUCGAGCGAAGCGGGGACGGGUGAGUAACACGUGGAUAACCUCCUAUAAGACUGGGAUAACUUCGGGAAACAGGAGCUAAACCGGAUACUUAGAGCUGGAUCCGCGCUGCAUUAGCUAGGGGGUAAGGUAACGGCGUACCAAGGCAACGAUGCGUAGCAGACCUGAGGGGGUGAUCGGCCACACUGGAACUGAGACACGGUCCAGACUCCUACGGGAGGCAGCAGGAGGGAAUUUUCGGCAAUGGGCGAAAGCCUGACGGAGCAACGCCGCGUGAGUGAUGAAGGUCUUCGGAUCGUAAAACUCUGUUGUUAGGGAAGCGGUAUCUAAUCAGAAAGCCACGGCUAACUACGUGCCAGCAGCCGCGGUAAUUC
rnacentral:rRNA from 1 species